UGGGUGAUAUUGCACAAUGGGCGCAAGCCUGAUGCAGCGACGCCGCGUGGGGGAUGAAGGCCUUCGGGUUGUAAACUUCUUUUGCUCUGAACAAGGCGCACUUUGGGGUGUGUUGAGUGUAGGGGUUGAUUAGCGCCGGCUAACUACGUGCCAGCAGCCGCGGUAAUACGUAGGGCGCGAGCGUUGUCCGGAAUUAUUGGGCGUAAAGGGCUUGUAGGUGGCUGGUUGCGUCUGUCGUGAAAGCUCAUGGCUUAACUGUGGGUUUGCGGUGGGUACGGGCUGGCUUGAGUGCAGUAGGGGAGGCUGGAAUUCCUGGUGUAGCGGUGGAAUGCGCAGAUAUCAGGAGGAAUACCGGUGGCGAAGGCGGGUCUCUGGGCUGUUACUGACACUGAGGAGCGAAAGCAUGGGGAGCGAACAGG
rnacentral:rRNA from 1 species